UACGGAGGGUGCAAGCGUUGUUCGGAUAUACUGGGCGUAAAGCGCACGUAGGCGGCGCCGUAAGUCAGGGGUGAAAUCCCGGAGCUCAACUCCGGAACUGCCCUUGAAACUGCAGUGCUAGAAUCUUGGAGAGGCGAGUGGAAUUCCGAGUGUAGAGGUGAAAUUCGUAGAUAUUCGGAAGAACACCAGUGGCGAAGGCGACUCGCUGGACAAGUAUUGACGCUGAGGUGCGAAAGCGUGGGGAGCAAACAGG
rnacentral:rRNA from 1 species